rnacentral:rRNA from 1 species
UACGGGGGGGGCAAGCGUUGUUCGGAAUUACUGGGCGUAAAGGGCUCGUAGGCGGCCAACUAAGUCAGACGUGAAAUCCCUCGGCUUAACCGGGGAACUGCGUCUGAUACUGGAUGGCUGGAGGUUGGGAGAGGGAUGCGGAAUUCCAGGUGUAGCGGUGAAAUGCGCAGAUAUCAGGAGGAACACCGGUGGCGAAGGCGGGUCUCUGGGCCGAUACUGACGCUGAGGAGCGAAAGCGUGGGGAGCGAACAGG